rnacentral:rRNA from 1 species
UUGACCUCAAAUCAGGUAGAG